rnacentral:rRNA from 3 species
CUUGACGACCAUAGAGCGUUGGAACCACCUGAUCCCAUCCCGAACUCAGAAGUGAAACGAUGCAUCGCCGA